GUAAAGUCUGAGAGCCUCUUGGUCAAUUCCAAAACUCCCACCUCUUUCCACAGUGUUAGAAACAGAUCCUUAUUUAAAUGCUUUUAGCUUUUAUCAUCUUUGAUAAAUCAUUGAGCACUUAUCAUCUCUGUCUCCAAGGCUGCCCCUUCCUGGUGUCCUGUUGCUUUCCAUACAUUGGGUUCUGCUGUUGUCACAAAGGAUCUGGGAACAGAUAUGUAACUACCAAGUGUAAGAUGGAUAAGUGCAGAAAAAGGACUGUUCAAGCCUGGAAACAAAAGAGUUAAAAUAUUUUCUCUUACCCACUUUCCAAAGAUGACAGCCUUUCUAUAUAAAGUCUUCUGUCAUUAAUCCAAUAAAGCUCUACUUUGUUCAUCAUUUACUACACUCUUGAUUAAGCCAUUCUAAUAUUUGUGCAGGGUAAGUACAUAAAUCAUUGUUGCUCUUCUGUACAUUUCUUUACUUAUCUGGUUCUUUCAAGGUCAAUAACCUACCUUACAACUUUCAUCUGGUUUAAAUAUUCAGCUACUUCCUUUUACACCUCUCUUCCUUGCUCGUGUCCAUUUGGAUACCUGCAGCUGUAUCUUCUCAAGUAGCUGUUGAUCAUGUCUCCUUGCUAAAGGUUGCUGACUUCAUCAGCAGUAAUGAUACAAACUACAUCUGUUAGGGUUCACUCACACCUCUCUUUUAGGAGAAAAUACAUUCUGACUUUAUUGCUAUUGGCCAUUUCUUCUGCCUAGGAAACUCAGUGAGAAAAAUUAUAUGCUGUAAAAUAUCCUCACCCUGACACGUGCAGGCUUUCAGUGCCCAGGUCAUGCAGAGAAGCCAAUCAAUCCCUACUGACCUCCAGAAGCCUGAAAUAUAUCUGAGUAAGGCCCUAGUCCAGCAAUGCACUUAAGGAUAUGCUUAUGUAAACAUAGGAUCCAUCCCAUUUUCAGUGCAAUUUGGUGAGAAGUGCAUUUCAGAGCAGGGCAUCUCCAGGGAUGCUCCUUUUUGCAAGGGCUGUGCAGGGUGAGACUGUGCCAGCUGCCACUCCAAGGUAUCUGGUAAUCUUGCACAGGACAAAGUAACUCUGUCUUACUUGCUGAGGUGCCACUGCUUUAGAAUCAGUGUGCAUUUCUGAGUGUGAACCCUUGUGCUCUGCAGAGUUGAUGAGCUCUUGGGAGCUUGAGUUUCUCCUGCUGACUGUUUAAGAGAAAAUUAAAUUAUUUAGGAUUAGGUAGAAUAAUUGGGUGCUGCAGGACCUUACAGCUAUGCCUGUUGUGUGCUGAGAGAUCAUCCUCUCUUCUGGCUUCAUCAGUUCCUUGACCCAACUGUGUUGCUGCCACAAGAAUGCCAGCUUGUACCAAAAACACAGGAGUGGAGUUUUGUCGUGGUUGUUUGCCAGGAGUGAGGCUGGAAUAGUUACCACUAUGGUAUAGAAGGAAACGGGGCUGGAAAGGACCUGAAGAGUCACCUCAUCCACCCCCACACAAACCACUCCUGACCUGUUUGUCCCAAGUGUUUUUUUAACCUGUCAGCCGUGGAGAUCCCCCAGCCUGCCCAGGCAAUCCCCUCCAGUGCCCAGUGACCCUGCAGCAGGGAAGUUAUUCUAGCUCUGAACUCAGGUCUCACUUGAUGCUUUUAAACACAUUACUUUUUUUGUGCUUUCCCUGUGGAUGUGGAUAACAAUUUAUUGCCUUCCUCUUUGCAUAAGCCAUUUAUAUAAUUGAAGACUCUUAUCAUGUCUCCUCUCUGUCUUCCCUGCUGUAGACUAAAUAGCCCAGAUAGGAUGAAAGCUGGAAUGGGGUGUCAGGGACAAGGAGUUAGAGGAGGAAAUCAGAGAGGGAUUAAUUCUGCUUUCAGUCCAUGUAGAAACAGACUUUUCCUUCUGAAGGAUGGGGAUGUGGGAGAGGAAAACAGGAUGCUCAGUGUGUAUCUGAUUGAUGGGCCACUGCCUCACAGGCUAAGGAAGAGGGGCUGGGAUGACCCUACUAUCCAGCCUCUGUGCUUGGAAAUGAAGGCUUUAAUUUCUUACAUUGGUGAGCAGCAUAUCCAGCUCACACAUCAGCUCCUGUGAGAUGUAUCUGGUUAACUUUCCGUGCAUCACACAAGCUGUUUCAGGUGCUGUGUGUGCUACACCAUCAGACAGCACGAUGAUGUAGCACCAGCACCAUCCAGGCUGCCCACAAGAGCCCUGCCAGGGAGCAGGAGUCCUCUCCAGGAUGGCAGAACUGUUCCUGCUGCCCUGACCCUGGCUCUGCUGUCACCCAGCAUGGGGAGCCACCACCACACACACUGCCCACAUGUGUUUCAGUUCCCUACAUGUUUACAGCCCGGUUGCUGUAAAACCAGCACGUGGAACAGGCCAGUGCUGUCUGCUCCAGAAGUCCCUGGGGUGUGUUAUGUCAGUGUCACAUCCAUGAAGGAAGCACAGUGAGAGCUCACAGUGACUUCUGUGCUCAGACCCUUCCCAUUCUUCACAGCUGCUGCCAGAGCUGCAGCAGGUAUGCAGCCAUCACAGCCUGAAACAAAAACACCUCCCAGCCUGGACACUUCCAAAAGUGCAAGGUGAUGGAAAAAAAAAUGUUUCUUUGCUGCUUAAAGCUCCUAAACAGCUUUUGGUGACAGUUCUGCCUUGCUCUGAGCACUCCAGGAACAGCACAUAAGGUGGAGCUGUUUUCCCUAGACUCCUGGUGACAUGGGAUCACAGGGUUAUUUACAUCAGAAAAGGGCUGGCCUUGAAGAAAGCAAAAAUAUUAAAUGCUGUUUGGGACAGCAGGAAAGUUCAUUGCAUUUCAAGAGCACUGCAGACUAACUCCAGCACUCCCAGUCUCUCUUCCUCCCCCACUGGCUCAUCCAUCAGCUGUUAAGACUUUCCAGUUCAAUUUCACAGUUAAAAUAAUCUUGACAAAUUGCAAUCCAAUUGUUUGGUUGGUUUUCUUUCUCUUUUUUGUUUUUGCUCUCCCUAUCCCCCGCCCUUCCUUCUCAGAGUGACUUUGAAGAUGACAUUUGUAUUUCUGAAUUAAAACCACAUUUGCCCAAUCUGCAGAGGGAGGAGGCAGGGGCAGAAGAGAGAAGAAAAGCUUUUGUUCUCCUCCUUGCAGUGACCCCUCACCUGCCAGGGCCAAGCUCCAAAAUAAUUUCUAACAGCUGAGGUUAGUCAGGGACACCUAAUCCCGGAAAGCUGGCUCUGAAUUCCAGCACCAGCACACAGUGUUUGAGUUUCAUCAACAGCCAUUCACAUCUAAUUCUCCCAAACCUCUGAAGUGUGAGUAUAUGUACAGGUGUGUGCUUAUUUAAUCAAAAAUUACUUUAUUUUUCAUAAAUCUGAGCCCAAAUGGCAUCAACAGCAGUGACAACAUUAUGUUUUUUAAAGCUAAGCAAGCUCAGGAGCUGUUUGAGGGUACCCUAAACAGCCAAGUUUACAGGAUGCCCAAGAAUUGUGAUUCUCUACCAAAGGGAGGGCUGAGCCUCACUCCCUGAUUUCCUGGAAUGGAAAAGGAUAGCUCUGUGCCAAUGGAACUGGAAGAUUGCUGCUGGGUGUGCUGAGACCUGUCCUGAGUGUUUGCAGAAGGGGUGUAAGGAGCAUCCUGGCAGCACAACACAGAGAAACCCCCAGGGCUCAGCUGAGGGGAGGAUGUGACAGCAACGGGCUCACCCUGGAAGAAAUGCACCUUCCCAGGCAUGAACAGGGACCAGAGCAGAGGUGUUGGUGCACCUGUCAAGAUCCCACUCUGGAACAGAAGAUCAGAGCAAACGGGGGCUGAGGAGAACAAAAGCUGACCCAAACCUUUGACCUAAAUUUAACAUGAAGCCAAAUGAAACCUUAGAGCUCUCCUAGGCAUGCUGAAAAGCUCCUUGCUCCUCUGCUCUGGGGCAGAAGAUGCUGCAUUAGGAUUUGUGCAAGGCUUUGACACAAGCAUUUCCCAUUCUGUGAGCUGAGAGGGACUCAGAUGGGACUGCUCCCCAGUGAUGGGGAUGGGCUGCAUGAUGGGGAACAGAAGUUCUGUGUCCAUGCAACUCGUACAACAUCAAAUCUCAAGCUGCAGGAAUACUUUUGUUGCUUUUGGAUGACCCACUAAUGAGAAGCACAGAAAACCCAUGAGGAUAUGAAUGAUUUUCUCUUACGUGCUCAAGCAACAGGCAGCAAGUGAGGCUUGGUGCAAUGCAGUAAACUGCAAGUUGAAAACCAAAAGUAAAAUCAUUUAAAUGUAUCCUCCAUGCUGUGCAAAAGAAGGACAGAAAACUCCUAGGAAAAUCUCUGGAAAUUCAGCUGCACUUGCACAACUCCAGUUAGUGUGAAGACAGUGUUCAUGAACAUUCUGGAUUCAUAAACAGGAGAAGGAAAAUACAUGUGAGCAAAGUGGCACUUUGACACUCUUCAAAAUUUCAAGUGUCUUUUCAGGAAUCCCAGUCAGAAAGCCUCAUUUUGUGAAGAUGAGAAGAGGGGGGGGGUUUCAUCCCAAAUCCUGUUCCCCCAUGAGGCAAUUGCUCAGGUUCCCUUCUGUUCUGGAAGAAGUACCAAGAAGAUGAUCUCAUGGAUAUCACAGCUUUUCAGCUUUCUCCAGAAUAUGGUAAACUGGAUAACAGGCAGACAGACUGUGCCUGCAGGGCACGAGGAGAUGCCUGGAAGGAAGGAUGUGCCUCUGACUGCCCAAAGCCCAGCUUUUCUCCAUGUGCAGCACAUCCAUUCUGUGUGCACUGAAUUGAUGCUGCACAUCCAGCCUGGCCUGAGCCCCCUGGUCCCCACUGCUGGCUGGGUUGUGAGUGUGGUUCUGCUGAAACAGACUGGGGGGCCCUGAGUGCCAGGCCAGUGGUGCUGCUCCUGGGCCAACAUCAGCCUCACCGAGCCAGGAGAACCUGGACUGGCCAAAAAACCACCUGGACUGGCCAAAAACCACCUGGACUGGCCAAAAAACCACCUGGACCGGCCAAAAAAACACCUGGAUCGGCCAAAAAAACACCUGGACCGGCCAAAAAACCACCUGGACUGGCCAAAAACCACCUGGACUGGCCAAAAAAGGACCUGGUUUGAGCAUUUCCAGGGAGGAUUCUGUGUUCCUGCCUGCCUGCUGGCCAGUGUAACCUGAAGGUUGAUUAAUCCAGCCAGCAUUUUGACUUGAAUGGCUUUUUGUCUAAAGUUUGUCAAUUUUUUUGAGAAUACAUGGGCGAAAUUUCCUUUUUCCAUUUGAAAGAAAAGAAAAAUGUGCACAUUGAAAGAUGCAGAAGGCAUUCAAGGAAUGCACAGAUCAUCAUUUCAGGCAUUCUGGGCAGCGGGAUUGAGUGAAAUCAUUUAUAGCAUCUGUUUUGAUAUUAGAGUGGUUUUAAACUGCAGAGUUGCACUAAACUAUUUUGAGUAAAUAAAUCUUUCCUAGGUAACUUUUCA